rnacentral:rRNA from 1 species
CGCCUCUUGACAAGAUAUAAGAGGUCCCGCCUGCCCAGUGACAAGAUUAAACGGCCGCGGUACUCUAACCGUGCAAAGGUAGCACAAUCACUUGUCCUCUAAAUAAGGACUAGAAUCAACGGCAUCACGAGGGUCUUACUGUCUCCUUUUUCCAAUCAGUGAAACUGAUCUUCCCGUGAAGAAGCGGGAAUAACUUUAUAAGACGAGAAGACCCCAUGGAGCUUCAAACUCAUCAGUUACCCUAUGCAAAUUACACGACAAUUUAGGGGGUUAUCUGCCAGUUUUGGGUUGGGGUGACCACGGAGAAUAGCAUAACCUCCGCAAUGAAAAAGAAUAACAUCUUUAUCUGAGAGCCACACCUCUAAGAAUUAAAAAAUUAACAUAUAAUGUUCCGAUACUUUGUAUUCGAUCAAUGAACCAAGUUACCCUGGGGAUAACAGCGCCAUCCACUUUGAGAGUUCAUAUCGACAAGUGGGUUUACGACCUCGAUGUUGGAUCAGGGUAUCCCAGUGGUGCAGCCGCUACUAAAGGUUCGUUUGUUCAACGAUUAAAACCCU